rnacentral:tRNA from 1 species
GCCAGGCUGGAGUGGGCACUCGCCAUGCGUUCCUUGAAGGAACGCCUGACCGGCGAGGGCGGGGGCGGCGCAUCGUUCCGGUUCGUGACCUGGCC